rnacentral:rRNA from 1 species
CGGCAACGGCUCAAAUUUGAAAUCUGGCAUCCGCCCGAGUUGUAAUUUGCAGAGGAUGCUUCGGCUUCGUCCCGGUCCAAGUCCGUUGGAACACGGCGUCAGAGAGGGUGACAAUCCCGUCUGACCGGCGACCCCGCCAUGUGAAGCUCCUUCGAC